AGAUUUGAACUCAGAUCUUCCUGACUCAAGGCUCAGUGCUCUAUCUGCUCCAGCUUCGCUACAAUAGCCUAUGUUAAAAUGGGGCACAGAGACAAGGCUGGUAAAUUGAUUCCUUCAGUCACGAGCACGACCAGAAUACAGCCACAAGAAAUCCUGGGAUGGGUCGUGCCAUUGUAGGUGAGGAGCUGGAGACCUCAGAGGCAGGUUAAAACAUCAGAGACCAUGAGAUCGAACUCCUCAUUUUAUAGAUAAGGAAGUUGAAAGAUGAACUGAAUUGAAAUGACCAAGUGCCCAAAGUCACUGAGGGAACUGAGGAAGGUACUAGUUGGGAGGAUUUAGCCUCCAUCCAGCACACAAUCUGCUAUGUUACACUGUCUCGCAUAUGUAAGAUAAAAAGGCUGGAUUUUAGGACGUCUGAGUAUUGAGUAACUCAAUAAUCCCAUAUUUUGCCAAGGGUGAGUUCAAAUUCUCUGCGGCUGCAGCCCUUCAAAUCACCUGGAAUCUGCUAGAGCAUCUCAUGCCUUGAGCAUGCAAGAAGAAAAUUGACAUAUCCUGGGGGAGAAGGGGAGGUCAUUCCUGUCACAGCCCCUUGGAGCACUGGAAGCCAAGUACCAGGCCCUGCACCAAGAUCCUCUCCCAAGCAAUCUGCAUUCAGGUCCGUGCCUCCCUGUCUCAGCCUGGUUCUCUGGGAGCCCCUUCCCUCCCCAUUCACCAAGGGAAACAGUACCACACUCUGAACUGAAGCAACUGGGACAUCGUAUUUAUGGAAGCGCUCGGGUACCAAAAUUAAAUCCUCGUGGAUGAGCUCAUAUUUGGGUGCUGGUGCUAAUUAUGUCUGCCCCUUCCAGGGACCAAAGUAGACUCUGAUAAAGCUCAGUGAACGUAGAUGAAGCCCCCUGAGCACUGUGUAUGACUGCACACGGCAGGCCCACAAAGCACUUUGAUGAACUCAGAGACAAUCUUCUCUGUUCCAGGAUCCCUCGUGUCUGAUGCUGCCUCAUUACAAGGUCACCAGUAAAAAGACUUCAGAGUCACUCAGCAGCAGACAAGGGAGCUUCAACUGACCCAUAGACUGCCUGGACCCUGAAGAUGGUAUUUGUGAUCCAGAGGCCAAAAAGCAAGCAGCCUACAGAACACUAACAAGGAAAAUCACAGGAAAUUAGUCAGAAUCCC